rnacentral:rRNA from 1 species
GCCCUUAGAGUUUGAUCCUGGCUCAGGAUGAACGCUGGCGGCGUGGAUAAGGCAUGCAAGUCAAACGGCUCGCAAGAGCAGUGGCGAACGAGGUAGUAACGCGUAGGUACACACCCCCGAGUCAGGAAUAACUAGUCGAAAGAUUAGCUAAUACUUGAUAGUCUCGCAAGAGUAAAGAUUUAUCGCUUGGGGAGUGGCCUGCGUAGUAUCAGCUAGUUGGUAAGGUAAUGGCUUACCAAGGCUAUGACGCUUAGGGGGAGUGAGAGCUUGGCCCCCACCGAUGGUACUGAGAAACGGACCAUACACCUACAGGUGGCCGCAGUCGAGAAUCUUCCGCAAUGGACGAAAGUCUGACGGAGCGACGCCGCGUGAUGGAUGAAGACCCUCUGGGUCGUAAACAUCUUUUAUGAGGGAGAAAGUUUAUUGAUAGUACCUCAUGAAUAAGGGGUUGCUAAACUCGUGCCAGCAGCAGCGGUAAUACGAGUGCCCCGAGCGUUAUCCGGAAUCAUUGGGCGU